UGCAUUUAUUAAAUAAGGAAUAAGUCCCACAAUAUGUUUUAUAGCCAUAAACUUUUAAAAGCAAAUUUUUUCCCCUGUCAAUUUCCCCUCCAAAAAAAUACUUCACUGUUACUAGUAUUAAUAAAGGACCAGUGCUAACCUCUUAAUCCCCAGUUAACGCCUGUCCUAAGGAAGGACAGGUACCAGCUGGUCAUUUUCCAGUUCCCUGUUAAGGUGGUACAUAACACUACAGGGAGAUAACUCUG
rnacentral:lncRNA from 1 species